rnacentral:SRP_RNA from 1 species
GCCAGGUGCGGUGGCUCAAGCCUGUAAUCCCAGCACUUUGGGAGGCCGAGACGGGCGGAUCACGAGGUCAGGAGAUCGAGACCAUCCUGGCUAACACGGUGAAANUUUCACCGUGUUAGCCAGGAUGGUCUCGAUCUCCUGACCUCGUGAUCCGCCCGUCUCGG